UACGAAGGGUGCAAGCGUUAAUCGGAAUUACUGGGCGUAAAGGGUGCGUAGGCGGUCUGUUAAGUUGGAUGUGAAAGCCCCCGGGCUCAACCUGGGAAUGGCAUCCAAAACUGGCAGGCUGGAGUGCGGUAGAGGAUGGUGGAAUUCCCGGUGUAGCGGUGAAAUGCGUAGAGAUCGGGAGGAACAUCGAUGGCGAAGGCAGCCAUCUGGACCAGCACUGACGCUGAGGCACGAAAGCGUGGGGAGCAAACAGGAUUAGAUACCCCCGUA
rnacentral:rRNA from 1 species